CUACGGGUUGCACCAGUGAGGAAUAUUGCACAAUGGGGGGAACCCUGAUGCAGCAACGCCGCGUGGAGGACGACGCAUUUCGGUGUGUAAACUCCUUUUAUUUGUCAAGAAAAUGACGGUAGCAUAUGAAUAAGCACCGGCUAACUCCGUGCCAGCAGCCGCGGUAAUACGGAGGGUGCAAGCGUUACUCGGAAUCACUGGGCGUAAAGGACGCGUAGGCGGGUUGGAAAGUCAGGUGUGAAAUCCUACAGCUUAACUGUAGAACUGCACUUGAAACUUCUAAUCUAGAGUAUGGGAGGGGGAGAUGGAAUUAGUGGUGUAGGGGUAAAAUCCGUAGAUAUCACUAGGAAUACCUAAAGCGAAGGCGAUCUCCCGGAACAUUACUGACGCUAAGGCGUGAAAGCGUGGGGAGCAAACAGGAUUAGAUACCCGCGUAGUC
rnacentral:rRNA from 1 species